UUAAGUUAUUAAGGGCGCACGGUGGAUGCCUUGGCACUAGAAGCCGAUGAAGGACGUUACUAACGACGAUAUGCUUUGGGGAGCUGUAAGUAAGCUUUGAUCCAGAGAUUUCCGAAUGGGGAAACCCAGCAUGAGUUAUGUCAUGUUAUCGAUAUGUGAAUACAUAGCAUAUCAGAAGGCACACCCGGAGAACUGAAACAUCUUAGUACCCGGAGGAAGAGAAAGAAAAUUCGAUUCCCUUAGUAGCGGCGAGCGAAACGGGAAGAGCCCAAACCAAAAAGCUUGCUUGUUGGGGUUGUAGGACACUCUAUACGGAGUUACAAAGGACGACAUUAGACGAAUCAUCUGGAAAGAUGAAUCAAAGAAGGUAAUAAUCCUGUAGUCGAAAAUGUUGUCUCUCUUGAGUGGAUCCUGAGUACGACGGAGCACGUGAAAUUCCGUCGGAAUCUGGGAGGACCAUCUCCUAAGGCUAAAUACUCUCUAGUGACCGAUAGUGAACCAGUACCGUGAGGGAAAGGUGAAAAGCACCCCGGAAGGGGAGUGAAAUAGAACCUGAAACCGUGUGCUUACAAGUAGUCAGAGCCCGUUAAUGGGUGAUGGCGUGCCUUUUGUAGAAUGAACCGGCGAGUUACGAUUUGAUGCAAGGUUAAGCAGUAAAUGUGGAGCCGUAGCGAAAGCGAGUCUGAAUAGGGCGUUUAGUAUUUGGUCGUAGACCCGAAACCAGGUGAUCUACCCUUGGUCAGGUUGAAGUUCAGGUAACACUGAAUGGAGGACCGAACCGACUUACGUUGAAAAGUGAGCGGAUGAACUGAGGGUAGCGGAGAAAUUCCAAUCGAACCUGGAGAUAGCUGGUUCUCUCCGAAAUAGCUUUAGGGCUAGCCUCAAGUGAUGAUUAUUGGAGGUAGAGCACUGUUUGGACGAGGGGCCCCUCUCGGGUUACCGAAUUCAGACAAACUCCGAAUGCCAAUUAAUUUAACUUGGGAGUCAGAACAUGGGUGAUAAGGUCCGUGUUCGAAAGGGAAACAGCCCAGACCACCAGCUAAGGUCCCAAAAUAUAUGUUAAGUGGAAAAGGAUGUGGCGUUGCCCAGACAACUAGGAUGUUGGCUUAGAAGCAGCCAUCAUUUAAAGAGUGCGUAAUAGCUCACUAGUCGAGUGACACUGCGCCGAAAAUGUACCGGGGCUAAACAUAUUACCGAAGCUGUGGAUUGUCCUUUGGACAAUGGUAGGAGAGCGUUCUAAGGGCGUUGAAGCAUGAUCGUAAGGACAUGUGGAGCGCUUAGAAGUGAGAAUGCCGGUGUGAGUAGCGAAAGACGGGUGAGAAUCCCGUCCACCGAUUGACUAAGGUUUCCAGAGGAAGGCUCGUCCGCUCUGGGUUAGUCGGGUCCUAAGCUGAGGCCGACAGGCGUAGGCGAUGGAUAACAGGUUGAUAUUCCUGUACCACCUAUAAUCGUUUUAAUCGAUGGGGGGACGCAGUAGGAUAGGCGAAGCGUGCGAUUGGAUUGCACGUCUAAGCAGUAAGGCUGAGUAUUAGGCAAAUCCGGUACUCGUUAAGGCUGAGCUGUGAUGGGGAGAAGACAUUGAGUCUUCGAGUCGUUGAUUUCACACUGCCGAGAAAAGCCUCUAGAUAGAAAAUAGGUGCCCGUACCGCAAACCGACACAGGUAGUCAAGAUGAGAAUUCUAAGGUGAGCGAGCGAACUCUCGUUAAGGAACUCGGCAAAAUGACCCCGUAACUUCGGGAGAAGGGGUGCUCUUUAGGGUUAACGCCCAGAAGAGCCGCAGUGAAUAGGCCCAAGCGACUGUUUAUCAAAAACACAGGUCUCUGCUAAACCGUAAGGUGAUGUAUAGGGGCUGACGCCUGCCCGGUGCUGGAAGGUUAAGAGGAGUGGUUAGCUUCUGCGAAGCUACGAAUCGAAGCCCCAGUAAACGGCGGCCGUAACUAUAACGGUCCUAAGGUAGCGAAAUUCCUUGUCGGGUAAGUUCCGACCCGCACGAAAGGCGUAACGAUUUGGGCACUGUCUCAACGAGAGACUCGGUGAAAUCAUAGUACCUGUGAAGAUGCAGGUUACCCGCGACAGGACGGAAAGACCCCGUGGAGCUUUACUGUAGCCUGAUAUUGAAAUUCGGCACAGCUUGUACAGGAUAGGUAGGAGCCUUUGAAACGUGAGCGCUAGCUUACGUGGAGGCGCUGGUGGGAUACUACCCUAGCUGUGUUGGCUUUCUAACCCGCACCACUUAUCGUGGUGGGAGACAGUGUCAAGCGGGCAGUUUGACUGGGGCGGUCGCCUCCUAAAAGGUAACGGAGGCGCUCAAAGGUUCCCUCAGAAUGGUUGGAAAUCAUUCAUAGAGUGUAAAGGCAUAAGGGAGCUUGACUGCGAGACCUACAAGUCGAGCAGGGUCGAAAGACGGACUUAGUGAUCCGGUGGUUCCGCAUGGAAGGGCCAUCGCUCAACGGAUAAAAGCUACCCCGGGGAUAACAGGCUUAUCUCCCCCAGGAGUUCACAUCGACGGGGAGGUUUGGCACCUCGAUGUCGGCUCAUCGCAUCCUGGGGCUGUAGUCGGUCCCAAGGGUUGGGCUGUUCGCCCAUUAAAGCGGUACGCGAGCUGGGUUCAGAACGUCGUGAGACAGUUCGGUCCCUAUCCGUCGUGGGCGUAGGAAAUUUGAGAGGAGCUGUCCUUAGUACGAGAGGACCGGGAUGGACAUACCUCUGGUGUACCAGUUGUCGUGCCAACGGCAUAGCUGGGUAGCUAUGUGUGGACGGGAUAAGUGCUGAAAGCAUCUAAGCAUGAAGCCCCCCUCAAGAUGAGAUUUCCCAACUUCGGUUAUAAGAUCCCUCAAAGAUGAUGAGGUUAAUAGGUUCGAGGUGGAAGCAUGGUGACAUGUGGAGCUGACGAAUACUAAUCGAUCGAAGACUUAAUCAA
rnacentral:rRNA from 1 species